GCAGCUGGAUGGGAAGGGAGUGCCAUGGCCAAGGAGGGAUUGCCAAGGAGGGAUUACCAAGGUUCAAGAUGUUUUCCAAGGGAACACGAGUUCUGUGUGGCACCUCUACACCAGAACCGUGUUUGGGGCAAACCAAGAACUGAGCAGAUCCUCUUUUAUUUCCACUCAUUUUCAGGGUGGUUUCUCCCAAACCAAGACAAGCAGUCAGGUGAGUCAAACAUGGAUCCCCUCAUGGAAUGCUUCUCCUGGCUGGGGUGACAUCCACAGGGAACCCCCUGAGGCUGAGCACAGGGAAUUCCCUCUCCUGUGCUUUUGUCCCGGGUAGAAAGCAAGGAUGACGCUCCUUAGGGAACUUUGGGUUCCUGUUUUGGAAUGUGCUGCCCUCAGGACCACCCCUCACUCAGAGAAUCCCAGAAAGGUCUCGGGUUUGAUGGGACUUUAAAACCCGCCUCAUUCCGGUCCCUGCCAUGGGAAGACUUUUCCUUGGAGCUGGCAGUGGGAUGAGGCUCCAAGGCACAGCCCAUGAAAUUGUUUUUUCCCGUGUGCGCUGCUGUUGGUUUUGCAGAUUCCUGGAUUCUUGUGUGAGGAUGGAAAUCCUCAUCUCCCCCAAAGCAGGGCACAGAAGGAGCAGGAGAAGCAGGUGCUGAACACUCCCACUGAGCUGUCCCUCAGCAGGAGAGGAGUUGGGAUGGGGAAGAGAGGGAAGGAUUAAAGAGAGAUGGAUUUCCUGCACCCAAACCAAGGAGCAACAAAAAAAACCAGAAAACCCCACCAAGUUUAAUCCUGUCCCAGACAAGGCCAGCAGGCACCACACACAAAUAGCUCAGGCUUUGAUUCCAUCUGCCCCUUCCUAAAAGUGGAAGGUGAAAAUAUUACAUCCAAGUGCCUGCUUUGGGCACGGGCACCGAAGGGGGAGGAAGGAGAGGGUGUUCCAUGGGGACAGAUGACCCCGGCGUGCUGGGAGAACCAAGCCCAGUGUCUGGUGGCAGCGAGUGGGUCAGACACUGUUAGAUCUGGCAGGGAGUCAGACAUCUGCCAGGGAACGGGGAUUUUGUCAGGAGAAGUGGGAGAGAGAGAGAGAGGGAGAGAGGGAGAGAGGCAGCGAGAGCCUCGCAGCGUUCUGUAUCAGCCCGGAUAACGCUUCCUCUUUAAAAUUCCCUUACUAAGCUGGGCUCCUAUAUUUUAUAUUCAGCAGC